rnacentral:rRNA from 1 species
AGUGAACGCUGGCGGUAGGCCUAACACAUGCAAGUCGAACGGCAGCACAAUAAGAGCUUGCUCUUACGGGUGGCGAGUGGCGGACGGGUGAGGAAUACAUCGGAAUCUACUUUUUCGUGGGGGAUAACGUAGGGAAACUUACGCUAAUACCGCAUACGACCUACGGGUGAAAGCAGGGGAUCUUCGGACCUUGCGCGAUUGAAUGAGCCGAUGUCGGAUUAGCUAGUUGGCGGGGUAAAGGCCCACCAAGGCGACGAUCCGUAGCUGGUCUGAGAGGAUGAUCGGCCACACUGGAACUGAGACACGGUCCAGACUCCUACGGGAGGCAGCAGUGGGGAAUAUUGGACAAUGGGCGCAAGCCUGAUCCAGCCAUACCGCGUGGGUGAAGAAGGCCUUCGGGUUGUAAAGCCCUUUUGUUGGGAAAGAAAAGCAGCAGGUUAAUACCCCGCUGUUCUGACGGUACCCAAAGAAUAAGCACCGGCUAACUUCGUG